GUGAUCUUUGUCUCAACUGAGAAGGGUGUUUAUUAAACCAUAACAAUUUUAGUUCAGUCAGGACCACUUUAGUCAAAGACACUUAUUACAUUGCAGUAAUAUAUACAUUAUAUUUGGCGGUAUGGCUCUGCUCUGGGACCUCCCUGCCCAUCCACGCGCAUGCGUGGAUCCACGAGCCUACGUGGUAGCAUGAGGCAAGGAGAGCACUCCUCCUUGCCCUUCCAUGUGCACACAUGGAAAGCCAAAGGCAGGGAGAGCAGCAGCAAAGACCCCCCUGGGUGCAGAACAGAGCCGGAAUCAAUGACAACAGAAUUGACAUUGAUUAAGUCAUAAACAGUUAGGGGUG